rnacentral:rRNA from 1 species
GACGAACGCUGGCGGCGUGCUUAACACAUGCAAGUCGAACGGACAGGCCCUGCUUUUGUUGGUUGCUCGAGUGGCGCACGGGUGAGUAACACGCGUGUAACCUGCCCUUGUCUUUGGGAUAACUUCAGGAAACUGCGGCUAAUACCGGAUAGGAGCUCCUGCUGCAUGGUGUGGGUUGGAAAGUUUCGGCGGUUGGGGAUGGACUCGCGGCUUAUCAGCUUGUUGGUGGGGUAGUGGCUUACCAAGGCUUUGACGGGUAGCCGGCCUGAGAGGGUGACCGGCCACAUUGGGACUGAGAUACGGCCCAGACUCCUACGGGAGGCAGCAGUGGGGAAUAUUGCACAAUGGGCGGAAGCCUGAUGCAGCAACGCCGCGUGCGGGAUGACGGCCUUCGGGUUGUAAACCGCUUUCGCCUGUGACGAAGCGUGAGUGACGGUAAUGGGUAAAGAAGCACCGGCUAACUACGUG